ensembl:snRNA U1 U1 spliceosomal RNA
CUACUCACUGACAGGGGAGACACUAUGAUCGCGAAGCUGUUUUUUCAGGUUGAGUCUCAUCCAUUGCUUCCAGAUGUACCAACCCCUGUGAUUUCUCCAAAAUCAGGAAACUUGACUGCAUAAUUUUGUGUAGUAGGGGACUGCAUUUGAGCUUCUCCUUG